AACGGAUUUCUGAAAAUCAUUUUCAAUCAGUAAUGUUAAUUGGAGGGAAGUGCUUUAUAAACAAAGUGAGGUAGAAGAAGCAUUGCGUUUCUCCUAUCAGUCUGUCUCUCAUCAGUUCAAACUGCCGGGCCCCCCUGCUGCACUCAGGAGACUAGAGAUGGGAGGUCCUCCUGCUCCCUGGACGAGGAAGAGGUAGGGCUUCCUGCCGCGGAGCUGGAAGACAGAAGAGCGGGGAGCUGCCCUGCGAAGUUCGCUCCCAAGGGCUGGCCCUGGCCCUGGUUCCCCUCAUUCCUGCCCACCCGAUGGGGUUCCUUCACUGCUCAUUCUCUUCUUCAGCACCUGCACAGGGAGAGGCAGAACAACCCUACCUUCUGGGAAGAGAAGCCUCUAACAGCUGAGUGCUUCACAGAAGGAUGGAAAAGCUAUUACUCCUCCCCUGUAACGGCAAAGAGCCCGACAUAGACUGACAGCGUGAGGUAAAUGAAUAACCGUGCGCAGGAAAGCCUCUCAGAGAAGACUGGAGAGUAAAAUGUGCACACGCAUACCUACAAAAUACACACAUUCAGCACACGCUGAAGUCAUCUCACCGAUACUCCGAGUUCUUACCUGAGCUUGCAUGGGACGGCAACAGGAUGGAGUCGGUGACUCACAGGAGAAUGCCUCACUUUUGAGGAGGCCUCUCAACUGGGAAUGUGUUCACGCAUAACUUUUGAAACUCAAAUGUUUGUUUUGCAUGUAAACCGAAGAACACAGUGACACAUGCUUCGGUAGUCGAAUAAAACACUUCAACAGUUUUUUAAGGACCAAAGCCAUUUCUAAUCCCCCCUUCAUUUACUUCAAAAUAAUACUUGCGUUAACUGAAUGUGCAGU
rnacentral:lncRNA from 1 species